rnacentral:rRNA from 1 species
UACGUAGGUGGCAAGCGUUGUCCGGAAUUAUUGGGCGUAAAGCGCGCGCAGGCGGUCCUUUAAGUCUGAUGUGAAAGCCCACGGCUCAACCGUGGAGGGUCAUUGGAAACUGGGGGACUUGAGUGCAGGAGAGAAGAGUGGAAUUCCACGUGUAGCGGUGAAAUGCGUAGAGAUCCGGAGGAACCCCAGAGGCGAAGGCGGCAGCCUGG